AUCGGCACCCAUAUCACCCUGUAGCCCAAGACUGGUCGCCCACUGAAGCAAAGCAGGGCUGAGCUGGUCAGUACCUGGAUGGGAGACCUCCUGGGGAAACCAGGUGCUGCUGGAA
rnacentral:rRNA from 1 species